rnacentral:tRNA from 1 species
GAGGAUGUAGCUCAGUGGUAGAGCACUUGUCUAGAAUGUGUGAGACCCUAGGUUAAAUUCCUAAUACUCUGG